CCUACGGGUGGCUGCAGUGGGGAAUAUUGCACAAUGGGCGCAAGCCUGAUGCAGCGACGCCGCGUGAGCGAUGAAGGCCUUCGGGUCGAAAAGCUCUGUCCUAAGGGCAGAAUAAUGACGGUACCUUAGGAGGAAGCCCCGACUAACGACGUGCCAGCAGCCGCGGUAAUACGUAGGGGGCGAGCGUUAUCCGGAAUCACUGGGCGUAAAGGGUGCGUAGGCGGCACUGCACGUCAGGAGAUAAAUCCCUCGGCUCAACUGAGGUCAGCUCUUGACACUGUAGGGCUUGAGUGCAGGAGGGGAGAGCGGAAUUCCUAGUGUGGCGGUGAAAGGUGUAGAUAUUAGGCGGAACGCGAGUGGCGAAUGCGGCUCGAAGGACUGCAACUGACGCUGAGGAACGAAAGCGUGUGGGGCGAUCUGGAUUAGAUACCCUGGUAGGC
rnacentral:rRNA from 1 species